GAAAGGAUAUGAAUCAACUUUAUUUUGACUAUAAAUUAAAAGAUGGAGAAUUCAGGUAGCAGGUAGUUUGCCUGAGGUUACAGAGCAGUGAUUGGAACCCUGAUUGAUCUAAAGUGAUUUUCUUCCAUACCUCCCAUUCCUAGCAAUUCAGAAUUCACUUUUAAAAAUUAGCCUUUUUUUUUUUUUUGCAAAUUGCUCUCCCACUGAUGACUGACUGUAGUUUUGUUUAUUAUUCUAUAGUGACUACAUGCAUAUGAAAUCAAAGACUUCUUAACCUUAAGAAAGAGCUUAGUGAUCUCUUGUUAAUAGGAAUUGAGGACUUUUAUCUCAAAAAGAGCCUUGUCUUCAUUGAAAAAAUAUGAGAAGAGUAAAUAUUAAGCUUCAACAAACUGUGCACUAUUUAUACCAAGAAGAAAUAAGCAGUGUGACCUAUUAAGGAAGACAUGUCAAGAGUAUUAAGACCUCACUGAUGAACACUGGCUGAAAAUAUGACAUGGCUCAAGGAAUCUGAAACCAACUACGUGUCUGAAAUUAGUUCAAAUUGUUCAUUGCUGAGAUGUAAGAGCCUAAUAUAAUACAGUGGUCCAAUAGAAAGGUUAUAUUGGAGAUCACUUAUAAAGCCCUUCAAAUUGCUGACGUUUUUAUAAGAAAUAAUAGAAUGUAGGUGUUGAAAAUAGAUAUUAAAAAUAAAUCCAACUGUUUACUUAAUUUCAAUGGAGAACAAUAAAAAUCCGUACUUCCUCACUAUAUUAUAGAUUCUUUCAAAUUGACUGCUCUUUGUAAACUGACAAAACUAAAUUUAAAAACCGUACAAAAGCAUUUAAAAUUUUUUCAAAUGAAAGCCCAUUUUUCCCUGCUCUUUCCAAAUUUCAAUGCCAUU